rnacentral:rRNA from 1 species
UACGUAGGUGGCAAGCGUUGUCCGGAUUUACUGGGCGUAAAGAGCGCGCAGGCGGUCGUUCAAGUCGCGUGUGAAAGCCCCCGGCUCAACUGGGGAGGGUCACGCGAUACUGAUCGACUCGAAGGCAGGAGAGGGACGCGGAAUUCCAGGUGUAGCGGUGAAAUGCGUAGAUAUCUGGAGGAACACCGGUGGCGAAGGCGGCGUCCUGGACCAACACUGACACUGAUGAGCGAAAGCCAGGGGAGCAAACGGG